CUAUGCGCCUUGCCAGCCCGCUCAGGUGUGCCAGCCGCCGCGGUAAUACGUAGGUGGCAAGCGUUGUCCGGAUUUACUGGGUGUAAAGGGCGUGUAGCCGGGCCGGCAAGUCAGAUGUGAAAUCCCAAGGCUCAACCUUGGAACUGCAUUUGAAACUGUUGGUCUUGAGUAUCGGAGAGGCAGGCGGAAUUCCUAGUGUAGCGGUGAAAUGCGUAGAUAUUAGGAGGAACACCAGUGGCGAAGGCGGCCUGCUGGACGAUGACUGACGCUGAGGCUCGAAAGCGUGGGGAGCAAACAGG
rnacentral:rRNA from 1 species